CCUAAAAACUGUAAUGCAACUUAAAAGAACAGCAUAAAAACCACACGGUUUGUAGUGCGUUUCAUAAUUUUCUCUUGACUUACAUCUGGCCACAGCAUUUUUUUAAGCAAAAAAACAAGGUAAUGAGAGCCUGCAAAAUGCAGCUCAUGCACAUGACCGUAUUUCCUUUCUGUGUCUGUUUCAGUUUUUUUGCAGCCCGUAUGCUGAACCAUUUACUUCAAUGGGUCCCAAAAAAAAC